rnacentral:rRNA from 1 species
UACGUAGGGGGCAAGCGUUGUCCGGAUUUAUUGGGCGUAAAGAGCGUGUAGGCGGCCAGGUAGGUCUGCUGUGAAAACUCGAGGCUUAACCUCGAGCUGUCGGCGGAAACCAUCUGGCUAGAGUCCGGAAGAGGAGAAUGGAAUUCCCGGUGUAGCGGUGAAAUGCGCAGAUAUCGGGAAGAACACCCGUGGCGAAGGCGGUUCUCUGGGACGGUACUGACGCUGAGGCGCGAAAGCUAGGGUAGCAAACGGG